UACAGAGGGUGCGAGCGUUGUCCGGAAUCACUGGGCGUAAAGGGCGCGUAGGUGGCCUGGUAAGUAGGGGGUGAAAUCUCGAGGCUCAACUUCGAGGCUGCCUCCUAGACUGUCAGGCUCGAGCACGGUAGAGGCAGAUGGAAUUCCCGGUGUAGCGGUGGAAUGCGUAGAGAUCGGGAAGAACAUCGGUGGCGAAGGCGGUCUGCUGGGCCGUUGCUGACGCUGAGGCGCGACAGCGUGGGGAGCAAACAGG
rnacentral:rRNA from 1 species